rnacentral:rRNA from 1 species
CCUACGGGGGGCAGCAGUCGAGAAUCAUUCACAAUGGGGGAAACCCUGAUGGUGCGACGCCGCGUGGGGGAAUGAAGUUCUUCGGAUUGUAAACCCCUGUCAUGUGGGAGCAAAUUAAAAAGAUAGUACCACAAGAGGAAGAGACGGCUAACUCUGUGCCAGCAGCCGCGGUAAUACAGAGGUCUCAAGCGUUGUUCGGAAUCACUGGGCGUAAAGCGUGCGUAGGCUGUUUCGUAAGUCGUGUGUGAAAGGCGCGGGCUCAACCCGCGGACGGCCCAUGAUACUGCGAGACUAGAGUAAGGGAGGGGGAACCGGAAUUCUCGGUGUAGCAGUGAAAUGCGUAGAUAUCGAGAGGAACACUCGUGGCGAAGGCGGGUUCCUGGACAUUAACUGACGCUGAGGCACGAAGGCCAGGGGAGCGAAAGGGAUUAGAUACCCCAGUAGUC